rnacentral:rRNA from 1 species
GACGAACGCUGGCGGCGUGCUUAACACAUGCAAGUCGAACGGAAAGGCCCCCACUUUUUUGGUGGGGGUGCUCGAGUGGCGAACGGGUGAGUAACACGUGGGUGAUCUGCCCUGUACUUCGGGAUAAGCUUGGGAAACUGGGUCUAAUACCGGAUAGGACCAUGGUUUAGUGUCUCAUGGUGGAAAAAUUAUUGUUUUGGUGCAGGAUGAGCUCGCGGCCUAUCAGCUUGUUGGUGGGGUAAUGGCCUACCAAGGCGUCGACGGGUAGCCGGCCUGAGAGGGUGGACGGCCACAUUGGGACUGAGAUACGGCCCAGACUCCUACGGGAGGCAGCAGUGGGGAAUAUUGCACAAUGGGCGCAAGCCUGAUGCAGCGACGCCGCGUGGGGGAUGACGGCCUUCGGGUGGUAAACUCCUUUCGUUAGGGACGAAGCCGCACCUUUUUUGGGUGUGGUGACGGUACCUUUGUGAAGAAGCACCGGCUAACUACGUG